rnacentral:lncRNA from 1 species
ACACACACAGACACCCAUGCCCAUGUGGGAACCCAUGCUCGACACAAGCAAGGCAUGUAGGAAGAGGUUUUUACUGAUAGGGAGUAUUUUCCUUGACCUUUUUUCCACAUAUGAUUUGCAUGAUCAUUUUUUUAAAAAGAAUUCUACAGGAAUUAAAUAUUUUAAAAGGGAGAAGAAUUAUCUAGUUAAUUUGUUAUUGAUAUUUAAUUAAUAUUUCAGUGUCAGUGACACGGGAAAGUAUAAGCAGGAUCGAAUUUACUCUUGAAACCCACUCAACAUAUGCAAUAUCGAAACAAUAAUCACCU